rnacentral:rRNA from 1 species
AACGAACGCUGGCGGCAGGCUUAACACAUGCAAGUCGAGCGCAUCCUUCGGGGUGAGCGGCGGACGGGUGAGUAACGUGUGGGAACGUGCCCUCUUCUACGGAAUAGCCUCGGGAAACUGAGAGUAAUGCCGUAUACGCCCGCAAGGGGAAAGAUUUAUCGGAGGAGGAUCGGCCCGCGUUGGAUUAGGUAGUUGGUGGGGUAACGGCCUACCAAGCCGACGAUCCAUAGCUGGUUUGAGAGGAUGAUCAGCCACACUGGGACUGAGACACGGCCCAGACCCCCCCGGGAGGCAGCAGGGGGGAAUCUUGGGCAGGGGGGGAAACCCUGACCCACCCAUGGCGGGGGAUCGAUAAAGGCUUUAGGGUUGAAAAAAUCUUUCAGCUGGGAAGAUAAGGAGGGUACCAGAAGAAGAAGCCCCGGCUAACUCCGU